rnacentral:tRNA from 1 species
GGAUGUCGGAGGUUAAAGUCCUCCCUACUGCUCAAAGAAAGGAGAUUCUAACUCCCACCCCUAACUCCC